rnacentral:rRNA from 1 species
AAUAGAUACCCAGGUAGUCCAUGCCGUAAACGUUGGGAACUAGAUGUAGGGACCAUUCCACGGUUUCUGUGUCGCAGCUAACGCAUUAAGUUCCCCGCCUGGGGAGUACGGCCGCAAGGCUAAAACUCAAAGGAAUUGACGGGGGCCCGCACAAGCGGCGGAGCAUGCGGAUUAAUUCGAUGCAACGCGAAGAACCUUACCAAGGCUUGACAUAUACCGGAAAGCUGCAGAAAUGUAGCCCCCGCAAGGUCGGUAUACAGGUGGUGCAUGGUUGUCGUCAGCUCGUGUCGUGAGAUGUUGGGUUAAGUCCCGCAACGAGCGCAACCCUCGUCCUUUGUUGCCAGCACGUAAUGGUGGGAACUCAAGGGAGACUGCCGGGGUCAACUCGGAGGAAGGUGGGGAUGACGUCAAAUCAUCAUGCCCCUUAUGUCUUGGGCUUCACGCAUGCUACAAUGGCCGGUACAAAGGGCUGCAAUACCGUAAGGUGGAGCGAAUCCCAAAAAGCCGGUCUCAGUUCGGAUUGAGGUCUGCAACUCGA